rnacentral:rRNA from 1 species
ACACGGUCCAGACUCCUACGGGAGGCAGCAGUGGGGAAUAUUGGACAAUGGGCGAAAGCCUGAUCCAGCCAUGCCGCGUGUGUGAAGAAGGUCUUCGGAUUGUAAAGCACUUUAAGUUGGGAGGAAGGGCAGUUACCUAAUACGUGAUUGUUUUGACGUUACCGACAGAAUAAGCACCGGCUAACUCUGUGCCAGCAGCCGCGGUAAUACAGAGGGUGCAAGCGUUAAUCGGAAUUACUGGGCGUAAAGCGCGCGUAGGUGGUUCGUUAAGUUGGAUGUGAAAUCCCCGGGCUCAACCUGGGAACUGCAUUCAAAACUGCCGAGCUAGAGUAUGGUAGAGGGUGGUGGAAUUUCCUGUGUANCGGUGAAAUGCGUANAUAUAGGAAGGAACACCAGUGGCGAAGGCGACCACCUGGACUGAUACUGACACUGANGUGCGAAAGCGUGGGGAGCAAACAGGAUUAGAUACCCUGGUAGUCCACGCCGUAAACGAUGUC